GAGGCAACUGCACAGCACGGCCAGAUCUUGGCAACCCCUACCGUAAGCAGUCAUCUUCCUCAAUGGAAUCCCCAUCUGCAGCUCAAGAAGCUUGCCCCUCUUCAAUCCCACGCUCUGUAUCGUGAUUCAGGUGUCAUUUGAUUUGUGACCAAUCUGGGAAUCCCGGAGUAGUUGCUAAUUGGGAUUUCAACCAGUGCUUUCUUCGAUGAUUCUUCUAGAUGGAAGCCCUCUGUUGAGUUUAAUGGGUCAGUGCGGCACCAUAAUAUUCUUUACUUCAUUAGUUUUGUCUCUCAAAAUAUUUUACAAAGACAAAUCUCUGAUUCCUAUCAUUAUCAUCGAUUUGUUAUCCUCGUAAGAAUCAAACUGCAUUAGGAAGGACUGUGAUCCGGCCUGUUUCCACUGCUAAACAUCACUAAUUAUAAAAUAUUUGUUUCUUACAGAACCACGAAUUGCUUGGUAUUUUGUCGUGCUGCUGCUCUUGGAUUAUUAUUAUUAUUAUAUUAGCAGUAGCACAACAGUAUUCCUCCAGUAGGUUUUCUAUUUAGUAGAUGUUUAUUUUAGAUUUCAUAAAGAUAUUCUAUAUCAUGUCAUGAAUGCAGAUAAUUUUUUAACAGAGAAUAUUCAUGUUUUUUUAGCAGGAUCAUAUUCAUUAAUUCAUGAGGCAAUACGUUGAGCUCACAAGCACUUUUCAUAUCUACCUGAUGACUCCUAUUCAUGUUGCAGAUAAACCGUCCUUCCUGAAAUUUGAUUGCUUUAAUUUUCAGGGUUGCUUAUUAUUUUUGGUGUAAUGUGGUUGUCUGAAAUUGUCCAUGUGCAUCUGGAUACAGUAGUAUCAGUUCUGCAAAAGUAAUAUUUUAGUUUCCUGCCUGUAUGGAUCAUUGACAAUAAUUUAUCUAAACUCAAUAAAUAGUCAUCAUUUAACAAUCUAAUAUUUUAAUUACUAAUUUCUUAAUAUUCAAAUGACACUUCAUUAAAUUUAAAUUAGGAUAGAUCUUCCAUAUGAACAAGCUCCAUCCUCCAUGUUCUUAACCAUUGUAUUAGUAACAACAAAAUAUGACUAUUUGUUGCCAUCUUAUUGAUAUUUCAGUCUAUGUAGAGGUGACAUAAUAAUAGGUACCCAUAAGUAAUUAAGGACAGCUCAAUUGGUUUCAACAUAGUUUAGCUCUGAAUAAAUAGGAUUAACAUUGAAGUUACUGAUUAUGAUUUUAGCUUGUUAUGAUUUUGUUUGGAUCAUAUAUAGGAUUAACACUGAAAUUAUUGUAGGCUUAUGAAGGAGCUCCUUGUUGACAAAACCAAGCUGUCGAAGGACUGUGGCGGUGUGCCUCUAGUUGAAGAUUAGUAUUUUGUUAUAGUAGUAUGGUUAGGCACUAUUUUUUUUGUCGGGAACUAUCUGUAAGUAAGUUAGGCACUAUUAGAUUCAUGGUUGAUAUUUUUUCUCUUUUCUGCAAAGAUACAUCUUGAUGUAUUGCCAUAUUGAAUCAAUAAUAUUUAUUUUCUGUCACAAGUUUAUUAAUGGUUUAUUCUUAUGUUGUGGAAACUAUA
rnacentral:lncRNA from 1 species